rnacentral:rRNA from 1 species
UGCCAGCCGCCGCGGUAACACGGGGGGCGCAAGCGUUAUUCAGAAUUAUUGGGCGUAAAGGGCGCGCAGGCGGUCUUGUCCGUCAGGUGUGAAAGCCCGGGGCUCAACUCCGGAACUGCUUCCGAAACUUCCAGUCUAGAGGAUGAGAGGGGAGAGUGGAACUUCUGGUGGAGCGGUGAAAUGCGUAGAGAUCAGAAGGAACACCGGUGGCGAAAGCGACUCUCUGGCUCAUUUCUGACGCUAAGGUGCGAAAGCUAGGGGAGCGAACGGGAUUAGAUA